AUUUGUCCCAGUGGUUUUAUUUAUUUAAAUUCUGAUUCUGGUAAGAAAACCAUAACAUUUAAAAUUGCAUUUAAAGCCAGGGAUUUCAUGUGAAGAUGUUACAAGUCUUCUACAUCUAAUCAGAGUCGCUGCUGCAGGAGCUGCUGGAGGACUAAAGCGAGAGAGAAAAAAGACACAACACAACAAAUUACAAACCAGGCUUUUGUUAGAGACAUAGUCAAAUAUAAAACACACAAACCAAAAAAUUACAAGAGAAACUGGAUUCUGAGCAGGCAGCCCAUCUUAUCUGAGGAACAUUUUCUUACCUCGUGACUAUUUUUCCCUUUCUUGUGACAAUGGGCAUGUUUGUGACCAUGCUUAUGCUUGUGCUUCUUGUGUCCAUGCCCGUGUCCAUGGCCCUGGCCACAGCAAGGACCCUGCUCAUGCCCAUGUCCAUGCCCGUGUCCAUGCCCUUGUCCAUGUCCGUGCCCGUGUCCAUGCCCUUGUCCAUAUCCAUGCCCGUGUCCAUGCCCAUGUCCAUGUCCGUGGUCAUGACCAUGCCCGUGUCCAUGUCCGUGCUCGUGACCAUGCCCGUGCCCAUGGCCCUGGCCACAGCCAGGACCCUGUGGGCACCCAUGCAUUGGAGGGGGGCAGGUUGCUGGAGGAGCAGCUCCUGGAGGAUACGCAGGGUAUCCUGGAGCUGGCGGCUGGUUUGGAUAACCUGGAUAUUGGUUUCCUGAACAGAGAGAGGAAAGAGAGAUCAAGGCGUCCAUAAUUUGACACAUGCACUCAUUUUUCUUGUUGACAAAAGUGUUUCCUUUGUACCUUGGUUGUGGCCGUACAUUCUGACAGAGUCUGGAAAUGUGAAGAACAUUUGAUUAGAUGAUAUGAACAAAAAGGACAUCAGCUGAGGGGAGACAGACGUGAACUCACCGUGUGUCCGAGGUCAGAUCCGCAGAAUGCAGAUCUUCACUUGCUGAUGCUUUAUAAGCACCAGAUCACUUCCUGAUCCAUCCCAUCGUGUGUGUGUGUGUGUGUGUGUGUGUGUAUGUAUGUGUGUGUGUGUGUGUGUGUGUGUGUACGCGUGUGCGUGAUCUUUAGCAUGCCGUUAAAGUGGGCAGAGUUUAUGAUAUGGACACACACCCUUAUGAACUAGUAAAGCUGCACUGGAAAAAAUGCGUCAUAAAAGUAAGUCUCUCUCUCUCCCUCUCUCCCUCUCUGCCUCUCUCCCUCUCUCCCUCUCUCUCUCUCUCUCUCUCUCUCUCUCUUUCAAACCAAAGAAACUUUGAUUUAUUGCUACAUUUUUACUGUUGUGGUUUGGUGUUAGCUGAACAUAUGCCCAACAUGUAACAUUAUAUUUACAAAAGAAAGAAUUUAUUCAGGAGUGGUGUGGGGACAGAGUGCUGAGCAAAGGUCCUAAAUUAAUGUUCUCUGAUUAAAUAAAGAUAAAAUGAACAGGUGUUGAUACUGGAUAUCAUGCAGGUA
ensembl:lncRNA